UACGUAGGGUGCAAGCGUUUGUCCGGAAUUAUUGGGCGUAAAGGGCUCGUAGGCGGUCCAUCGCGUCGGGAGUGAAAAGCUGGGGCUCAACCCCAGUCCUGCUUCCGAUACGGGUGGACUAGAGGUAUGCAGGGGAGAACGGAAUUCCUGGUGUAGCGGUGAAAUGCGCAGAUAUCAGGAGGAACACCGGUGGCGAAGGCGGGUCUCUGGGCCGAUGAUUGACGCUGAGGAGCGAAAGCGUGGGGAGCGAACAGG
rnacentral:rRNA from 1 species